ACUCAGUGGCCAGAGGUUGGGGGGAUUCUGCACAGGUGGCUCAGGGUGUGCUGGCACAUAUCACCCUCACCAGGGCCCAGGGCCCUUGAGCACCCCAGUGUUCCAGCGCUGGCCUUGAACCAGGGAUGGUCUUCUGGUGAGGGCUGUGGGGCUAAGAGCCUGAAGGAGGGCCCUCGGGUGAGAAGAGGCUUCUGGGAGGAGCAGGAGACAGAGGAGGGGAUUUGGGGGAAGAGGGGGAGGGGAAGGGACAGGGAGGGGAGGGGAAGGGAUAAGGAGGGAAGGGGGACCGCCCAGCGGAGUGGGGAGGAGACACAGGGUGGAAGGCUGGGGGUUGCCCUUGAGGUUUGGUGUCCGAGUCUGGGAUCAGGGUUCUGCUGCUGGUGGGCGAUCCUGCUGCUGGCUCAGCCCCAGUUCGGGCCCUGGCUGCCUCACUCAGAUGAGGGGCCGGGCGUCCCUCUCCUGCUUUCCUGUGCUUGGACUGUGGCAGCCACCACACCCACCACGGAGAGGGUGGUUAAUCCCCAAGGGCCCUCACCAUGGAGUUGCCCCUCUCCCUGCUCACCCCAGGCCCUAUGGGUGCCUUUCCUGGCCUCUGGCCUAGGGCUUUGUGGAGUGAACAUUGGCUCCUCCUGCUUUUGGGGGCCACUAGCCAGUGAGGUGAGGCCAGAUCUCCUGAAGGGAGGGUCCCGUGUCCCCAGAGUCAGGGGUCGGGGGUCAAGGGUCGAGGUCAGUGGGUCAGGUGGGUGCAUUGCGCAGCGUGUGCUCAGGGCUGCCUGUGACCCGGAAAAGACUUUCUCAGGCCUAUCCCCACCCGCACCAGCCUGGAGAGAGCCCUGUCAGGCUGAGGUGGAAUUUUCUGGAGCCCCGGGGGCUGUGCAGGUUGGGGAGGAGGACGCCCAGCAUCGGAUGAGCGGUGACUUCCGACCCACUGGGGAAGCCACAGACACGGCUGAGUCGGAGGCAAGGAGCAAGGCCUCCUGUUAGAAAGUCCCAGAAAGAAACAAACCCUCAGAGACCACCCAGAAGGCCAGGAUCAUCCGAGGGGCCGCCCCGUGGGGUCUCCAUGGCUACACGUGCAUCCUGAGGCCCAAGUCCUCCUCGCAGCGGCUUGACUGGGUGCUGGGGACUCUGCAGGGACCGCACCAUCGGUGCUCCAGCUUUCAGGAAGCUCCCGCCUCGGGGUGAACAGACAGCAGGUAAAGAAGCCUCAUGCAGGGCAGCAGGGGAUACCCUGGAGAGGAAAGCGAGGCAGGAAACAGACACUGUGCCAGUGGCUCCUGAAGGGAUGCGCACUCGGGGAUCUCGGAGAGGGUCCAGGUGAGGACGGCAAGGGCAGAGGAGCCUGUGGGAGGGGUAAGCACGAGGGAGGCCAAGGCCCUGAGAUGUGAGGCCCUCAUCCUGCUGCAGGCGCUCUGCCUCCAGCAAGAGGUGGCUCUGGAGGACAACUCUCCACAGGCUUGGACAGCCAUGCUCCCAGACAAGAGCUUCUGCUGUGCUCCCAGAUGAGAGCCAGAGCCCCACCUGUCAGGAGGCCACACUCAUGCCCAGGACUUCUGGGCCUCGGCAGUGCUCCCAAGGGUGUGGCACCAGGUGCAGCAGGGCUGGUAUGUGGACCAAGUGCGCUGGGGAGGUGGAGGAAUAGCAACAUCCCGUGGGCCAACCAUCUCUUGUGUGUGCACACGGCACCUGUGCACCCAAGGUCACCCGUGUGCACGCCACCUCUCCACUCCUGGCAGCAGCCACCCUUGCACCACGUGGCUCUGUGCCCUGGCUCCACAGGACUCCCUGCUGCUGCCAGGAGCAAUUCCUGGAGUCCAGCUGGGGUCAGCAGGUGGAGGUAGCAGGGCCUCUGUGCUGGCUUUGGGACUGGACCAGCAGCAUUGCAGACGCCCUGGCUCACCCACCUGGGCACACCUGAGGCCUCUUGCCCUUAUCUCCCAGGGCCCUAGUGGUUCCCCUCCACCAUCCCAUCCCAAAGCUUCACCUUUCCAGUGUAGCCCCAGGCCCUAGAGCAGGCGUGUCCACUUUAUUGUACACACAACGUUUGACUCGGAGCCCGAGACAUGUAUCUGAUACAAAUGGGGCUGUUCUGGAUGAGGGAGGGGGCACCCAGCCCCCAAGUCCGGCUCCCCAGCUCCCUGACUGCCCUGGCUCUGCUGAGCACCUUAGAGACCAUACUGGAAGCUCUCAGCGAGGCUCCUGGACCCUGGCAUCCCCGAAACCCCCUGAGGGACCCACUUUGCCAGCUGCAUGUCUGUGUCGCACGGAACUGUCUCCUUGCUCUGCAAGCAGGUGGAAUGCAGGAGCAGGCAGGAACAUCCAACCCUUCUGAGUCAGACACUCAAGAGCUCUGCAGACAUGAAGACAAUGCCACGCCGCCCCCUAAAUGCUUUUUGUUUUGGAAAAUAUAGCUGUUUGUCAUAAGCUGUUUACGUUGACAUAUAACAGGUUUAUGAUUGUUUUAAUGAAUUAAUGGGUAUUUUAAAUGCUCUUAGUUUUGAUGUCUAGUGUUUCUCGUUGGUGAUUUCUAAUGUCUAGUGUUUCUCGUUGGUGAUUUCUAAUGUGGCAUCGUGGCUGCAUUCAACCCCCAUAAACACAUGCUCCGUCAGGGCCUCCAUAGCUCUUUAGACCCAAUGUUUGAGUCCCGGGCUCCAGAUUGUGUCUCUGCCCCUCCCUGCUCCCUCAGCCAACAGCCCGGGCAACGCCCAAGAGCUGCCCUCCCACUCGGCUCCAGGAGACGUUUAAAUGGGGCCUGACUCCCGUCUCUCUGAUCUAAAAGAUAACCGGAAGCAGCAGAGAAAACAUCUGAAGUGCUUCCUGGACACACCGGUUAGGAAGUUUCUGCACGAACCCAGGUAAGAGCUGGAUUAAGUGGGAGUCCGUGGUUGGGAGGAGGGAGAACGCCUGCCUGGGCGUUUACAGAGAUGAGUUUGCAGGGAUAAUGAUGCCGGGGUUUCAGGCUUCAGGCCCAGCCCCAGGAAGAGAACGGCAGCAGGAAAAGUUAGAGAACGAGGAGGGGGAGCAGGAGGUGGAGAGCUCGGCCCCUCCUUCACUGCUGCCCUCUGGGUGACGCUCAGCGGAGGCGCCACUUUGCGGCUGCCAGGGCCCCGAGACAACCUCUGCACCGUUUAUGGGAUCCCAUUAGGGGAGCAGCGGCCCUGCAUGACCCCACAGGUGAGCAGGACACCUCAUCACAGGGUAGGCAUGUGAGCAGACCUCACUCUCACACAGCUGCCUCCCGGGCUGCGCAGGUCAGGUGCUGAGAACACAAAAGAAAAUGAGACAAAGUCGCCACCCUGGAGUUUACAAGCUGGCGUGGGAGACAGGCUGGCACUGAGGACGACAGUGGAGAGACAUUGGGCCCGGAAGAACCAGAGGUGCUGGGGAAGCCGGGUCAGCAGAGAGACCCCAGUAGAGUGGGAGCCGGAGGACGGCGGCGACUGCAGCCGACUGUUUCAGGUGGCAUCCUCGUCACGAGAGGACCUUGAGCGGUCAUGGGCUUCUUGGGAACCUGCCUACAGAGGAAACGAUUACUGGGUGCAGAUGUCUUGAACAUUUAUUGUAUUCCACGUUGUCAGUCAAUAAAACAGCUUUGCCAGCGUUAAUACUGACAAAAUCAAGUUCAGGCUGUAAGCCCAAGGGCUUCCAAGAAAAGUGGAUCUGGUGUCCGGUGGGGGCACUGCCUGGUUCCCAGGCGGUGUCCAAACUGCAGGGAGAAACAAGGACCCUGCGGGAAGAAGGGACCUGCCCGACUGGUUCCCCCGCACCCACGUCAGGAGUUUUCCCAGAAAGCCAUCCACUUUGUUAGACGCAAAAUAAAGGUCAUUUGGAGAAAAACCUGCCAGCAGCUGCUGCUGCUUGAAAAUAGAAAAGAUUUUAAAAGUAGCAGUGUUGGGAGGCCAAGGCGAGCAGAUCACCUGAGGUCAGGAGUUCGAGACCAGCCUGGCCAACAUGGCAAAACUCCGUCUCUACUAAAAAUAAAAAAAAUUAGCUGGGCAUGGUGGUGCGUACCUGUAAUCCCAGCUACUUGGGAGGCUGAGGCGGGAGAAUCACUUAAACCUGGGAGGACGAGGUUGCAAUGAGCCGAGAUUGUGCCACUGCAUUCCAGCCUGGGCGACAGAGCCGGACAUCGUCUCAAAAAAAAAAAAAAAAUGCAGCAGUGGUUUGAAAUCGUGCAUUUUUAUAUAUUGUCCUCAAACAUCUGAGGGAGAUAAGAAAGAAUAUACCGCAGAUGAGAAUAUUAAUAAUUAUACAUAAUAUAUUAUUUAUAUAUAACAUAAUAUAAUAUAUUAUAACAUAUAAUAUAAUAUAUUGUUAUAAUGUAUUAUAUAAUAUAUUACAUAUUAUAAUAAUAUAAUUAUAUAGGUAUAUCUUAUAUAAUAC
rnacentral:lncRNA from 1 species